UACGUAGGCAGCGAGCGUUGUUCGGAGUUACUGGGCGUAAAGAGUGCGUAGGCGGUGUUCCAAGUCUGUUGUGAAAUCUCCCGGCUUAACUGGGAGGGUGCGGCGGAAACUGGGAUGCUGGAGUGUGGGAGAGGUAAGCGGAAUUCCCGGUGUAGCGGUGAAAUGCGUAGAUAUCAGGAGGAACACCGGUGGUGUAGACGGCUCUCUGGACCGUAACUGACGCUGAGACACGAAAGCGUGGGUAGCAAACAGG
rnacentral:rRNA from 1 species